AAAAAUCAAAAGUCUAGAAAAUUUAGUUAAAAAUAAUUCAAACUAUCUUAAGUAAGAAAACAAUUCGAGCUUCCUCACGUUGUUCGGUCCUAAAUUUGUUGAUUACCUGAAAAGGACAAAUAAGAAGAAUGAGCUAACAAGCUCAUUGUGUAAUUAAACCCAAACAAAAAAAAAACACAAAAAACAAAAUAACCUAUCAGACAUUGCAAGGAAUCUCAU
rnacentral:lncRNA from 1 species